rnacentral:misc_RNA from 1 species
UACGAGUGCCUCAAGCGUUAUCCGGAAUCAUUGGGCGUAAAGGGUGUGUAGGCGGUGUUGUUAGUCUUUUGUUAAAAACCCGGGCUUAACCCGGGCGAUGCGAGAGAAACGGCAACACUAGAAGGUGCGAGAGGUGAGUGGAACUCAUGGUGUAGGGGUGAAAUCCGUUAAUAUCAUGGGGAACACCAAAGGCGAAGGCAACUCACUGGCGCAUUCUUGACGCUGAGACACGAAAGCGUGGGUAGCGAAUGGG